UCCACGGCCCACACAGGAGCUGUGGCACUCCCUCUGUGGGAACACACACACAAACACAUGUGCAGUUUCAUUUGAAAUAAACCAGUAAAAUGAGCUUUAAAUCAAGAGAAGGACCAAGUUGAUGAUCACAGGGUCUCCGGAAUUGAAUCCCACAUCUGGAAAUGUCCGUGGAACUUAUUGGUCGGCCUCAGCCUCGUCGAUGUGUUCCACAGGUGGAGAGCGGUGCUGUCAGAGGCUCGGAGGUUUAUGGAUACGGGACCGGUCCAAAAGGGAAGAGUGGCUUUGUGUAAACACUACCUGGCACCUCUCUGGGAAAUACAUGAUUCAUCGUAUCAGAAGAGAUGCUGCGGUUUAGGUUUCGUAGGAGAAAUCCAGGAACAGCUAGACUUCUUUCUACCAUCCUCUCCAUCAGCAAAGUAGUAGUAGGAGGAGGAGGAGAGAACAGAGACGCUUGUCAGUUGUUGUGCCAAAAUGGAGAAGACGGACCGGGAAGCAGCGCUGAGGGAUGAAACGAUGCCUGCAAAGUGUAAAAUGAGUCUGUCAGCUGGUGUCAUGUGUGAAGUUGUGAGGAGAGUGAGAGCUUUCAAAGCGUCCGGCAUGCAGCGGUCAACAGGAAGGGAAACUCUUUUUACCACAUGGCGUCCCGUUGGAUCUGAAACUCUCGACUGAAGCUGUGCAGCACGUGGGCGACAAGGUUACCGAUGACAAGACUAGACAAAGGACCCAGUGAAGUGAAGCCCCCCCCCCCCCAUGUGUCUCCUCGCCCACUCUUCAGAGAUCAGUGGACUUCCAGGAGGAAACAUUAGUUUGUCUGUCAGAGAGAAGUUCCCGCCGCCGCCGGCCUACUUAGUUUUGGUCGAGGAUCAAAGGCACCGGGACAGAAAUGAGAUUUCCAUUUCCCUUUCAGUCAAACUGCUUCUGUGAUACAAAUAAAAAGCUGGAGAAUCGUUCGCCGUCAAGAAGAAGUAGAGUGUGGGGGGGUGGGGUCACACCGGCUCUGUUGAGAGAAGAAGCAGCAUCCACCCCUGUGGAGUCUCUGUGACUUCACGUCUCAUGGGGUCCAUUGGACCUGGCUGUGUCUGAUGCCUCCUGAAAGGGUUUUUUUCUAUUUCUUGGGAGUUUUUCCUGAUCCGAUGUGAGGUCAAAGGUCAGGGAUGUCGUAUGUGUACAGAUUGUAAAGCCCCCUGAGGGGAGUUUUUUUUAAAAAUCUGUGAUAUUGGGCGAGAUUAAAUAAACUGAAUUGGUACAGAGGAUCCUGAAGAGCUGGUGUGGCAGAUUAAUGCUGAAUGCUACAGUGGAGGGGGGGGGGGGGUCCAGUUUCACAGAGAGCCCCAUCUCUUCUAAUCGGCCUUAUUAUGGGCUGUUGAGAUGUCACGGCCAGCAGCUCCGGGCCGUAGAGGAGCCGAAUGCUGCUGCUCAAGCACUUCAGAGACUAAUAGAGAUGAGAGAAAGAGAGCGAGACACACACACACACAAGCAAAAUACCAAUGAAGUCGAGGAGGGUUGGGUGUCUGCCCGCCUGCCUGCGUGCUCAAAAGAAAUGCAGAUCAAAUACAAUCAUGAUUAUGCAAAAAAAAACACAAUGUAAAUC